rnacentral:rRNA from 1 species
UACAGAGGCCCCAAGCGUUACUGAGAAUCACUGGGUUUAAAGGGUGCGUAGGUGGCGCGUUAAGUCCGUUGUGAAAGCCCUGGGCUCAACCCAGGAACUGCUUCGGAUACUGGCGCGCUUGAGGCUAGUAGGGGUCACUGGAACUGACGGUGGAGCGGUGAAAUGCGUAGAUAUUGGGAGGAACACCAGUGGCGAAGGCGGCUCACUGGACCGGUACUGACGCUGAUGCGCGAAAGCGUGGGGAGCAAACGGG